UUAAGCGACUAAGCGUACACGGUGGAUGCCCUGGCAGUCAGAGGCGAUGAAGGACGUGCUAAUCUGCGAUAAGCGUCGGUGAGGUGAUAUGAACCGUUAUAACCGGCGAUUUCCGAAUGGGGAAACCCAGUGUGUUUCGACACACUAUCAUUAACUGAAUCCAUAGGUUAAUGAGGCGAACCGGGGGAACUGAAACAUCUAAGUACCCCGAGGAAAAGAAAUCAACCGAGAUUCCCCCAGUAGCGGCGAGCGAACGGGGAGGAGCCCAGAGCCUGAAUCAGUGUGUGUGUUAGUGGAAGCGUCUGGAAAGGCGCGCGAUACAGGGUGACAGCCCCGUACACAAAAAUGCACAUACUGUGAGCUCGAUGAGUAGGGCGGGACACGUGGUAUCCUGUCUGAAUAUGGGGGGACCAUCCUCCAAGGCUAAAUACUCCUGACUGACCGAUAGUGAACCAGUACCGUGAGGGAAAGGCGAAAAGAACCCCGGCGAGGGGAGUGAAAAAGAACCUGAAACCGUGUACGUACAAGCAGUGGGAGCCUCUUAAUGGGGUGACUGCGUACCUUUUGUAUAAUGGGUCAGCGACUUAUAUUCUGUAGCAAGGUUAACCGAAUAGGGGAGCCGAAGGGAAACCGAGUCUUAACUGGGCGCUAAGUUGCAGGGUAUAGACCCGAAACCCGGUGAUCUAGCCAUGGGCAGGUUGAAGGUUGGGUAACACUAACUGGAGGACCGAACCGACUAAUGUUGAAAAAUUAGCGGAUGACUUGUGGCUGGGGGUGAAAGGCCAAUCAAACCGGGAGAUAGCUGGUUCUCCCCGAAAGCUAUUUAGGUAGCGCCUCGUGAAUUCAUCUCCGGGGGUAGAGCACUGUUUCGGCAAGGGGGUCAUCCCGACUUACCAACCCGAUGCAAACUGCGAAUACCGGAGAAUGUUAUCACGGGAGACACACGGCGGGUGCUAACGUCCGUCGUGAAGAGGGAAACAACCCAGACCGCCAGCUAAGGUCCCAAAGUCAUGGUUAAGUGGGAAACGAUGUGGGAAGGCCCAGACAGCCAGGAUGUUGGCUUAGAAGCAGCCAUCAUUUAAAGAAAGCGUAAUAGCUCACUGGUCGAGUCGGCCUGCGCGGAAGAUGUAACGGGGCUAAACCAUGCACCGAAGCUGCGGCAGCGACACUAUGUGUUGUUGGGUAGGGGAGCGUUCUGUAAGCCUGUGAAGGUGGCCUGUGAGGGUUGCUGGAGGUAUCAGAAGUGCGAAUGCUGACAUAAGUAACGAUAAAGCGGGUGAAAAGCCCGCUCGCCGGAAGACCAAGGGUUCCUGUCCAACGUUAAUCGGGGCAGGGUGAGUCGACCCCUAAGGCGAGGCCGAAAGGCGUAGUCGAUGGGAAACAGGUUAAUAUUCCUGUACUUGGUGUUACUGCGAAGGGGGGACGGAGAAGGCUAUGUUGGCCGGGCGACGGUUGUCCCGGUUUAAGCGUGUAGGCUGGUUUUCCAGGCAAAUCCGGAAAACCAAGGCUGAGGCGUGAUGACGAGGCACUACGGUGCUGAAGCGACAAAUGCCCUGCUUCCAGGAAAAGCCUCUAAGCAUCAGGUAACAUCAAAUCGUACCCCAAACCGACACAGGUGGUCAGGUAGAGAAUACCAAGGCGCUUGAGAGAACUCGGGUGAAGGAACUAGGCAAAAUGGUGCCGUAACUUCGGGAGAAGGCACGCUGAUAUGUAGGUGAAGCGACUUGCUCGUGGAGCUGAAAUCAGUCGAAGAUACCAGCUGGCUGCAACUGUUUAUUAAAAACACAGCACUGUGCAAACACGAAAGUGGACGUAUACGGUGUGACGCCUGCCCGGUGCCGGAAGGUUAAUUGAUGGGGUUAGCGGUAACGCGAAGCUCUUGAUCGAAGCCCCGGUAAACGGCGGCCGUAACUAUAACGGUCCUAAGGUAGCGAAAUUCCUUGUCGGGUAAGUUCCGACCUGCACGAAUGGCGUAAUGAUGGCCAGGCUGUCUCCACCCGAGACUCAGUGAAAUUGAACUCGCUGUGAAGAUGCAGUGUACCCGCGGCAAGACGGAAAGACCCCGUGAACCUUUACUAUAGCUUGACACUGAACAUUGAGCCUUGAUGUGUAGGAUAGGUGGGAGGCUUUGAAGUGUGGACGCCAGUCUGCAUGGAGCCGACCUUGAAAUACCACCCUUUAAUGUUUGAUGUUCUAACGUUGGCCCCUAAUCGGGGUUGCGGACAGUGUCUGGUGGGUAGUUUGACUGGGGCGGUCUCCUCCUAAAGAGUAACGGAGGAGCACGAAGGUUGGCUAAUCCUGGUCGGACAUCAGGAGGUUAGUGCAAUGGCAUAAGCCAGCUUGACUGCGAGCGUGACGGCGCGAGCAGGUGCGAAAGCAGGUCAUAGUGAUCCGGUGGUUCUGAAUGGAAGGGCCAUCGCUCAACGGAUAAAAGGUACUCCGGGGAUAACAGGCUGAUACCGCCCAAGAGUUCAUAUCGACGGCGGUGUUUGGCACCUCGAUGUCGGCUCAUCACAUCCUGGGGCUGAAGUAGGUCCCAAGGGUAUGGCUGUUCGCCAUUUAAAGUGGUACGCGAGCUGGGUUUAGAACGUCGUGAGACAGUUCGGUCCCUAUCUGCCGUGGGCGCUGGAGAACUGAGGGGGGCUGCUCCUAGUACGAGAGGACCGGAGUGGACGCAUCACUGGUGUUCGGGUUGUCAUGCCAAUGGCACUGCCCGGUAGCUAAAUGCGGAAGAGAUAAGUGCUGAAAGCAUCUAAGCACGAAACUUGCCCCGAGAUGAGUUCUCCCUGAGACUUAGAGUCUCCUGAAGGAACGUUGAAGACGACGACGUUGAUAGGCCGGGUGUGUAAGCGCAGCGAUGCGUUGAGCUAACCGGUACUAAUGAACCGUGAGGCUUAACCUU
rnacentral:rRNA from 1 species